GCGGAUGUGGCGAAAUUGGCAGACGUACCAGACUUAGGAUCUGGCGCCGUAAGGCAUGCAGGUUCGACCCCUGUCAUCCGCA
rnacentral:tRNA from 1 species